rnacentral:lncRNA from 1 species
CUCCGCAUAACAGCCUACUUGACCCGGAACUUCAAAUCUGUUACGGUGCCUUUCUUUGUCCUCCAUGGUACAGAGGAUAAAGUCACUGAUCCACUAGCUUCACAAGACUUGUAUAAUCAGGCACCAUCAGUGUUCAAAGACAUCAAACUCUACGAUGGUUUCUUACACGACCUUCUCUUUGAACCCGAGCGAGAGGAUGUUGGUCGUGAUAUCAUAGAUUGGAUGAUGAAGCGGCUCGACGAUGUUAACGGAUCAGCCGCUGGCCUCUGGUAAAAGAUCAGACGAGACAUCAGAGGUCUUCUUCUUGUCUAGGUAGUUGGGAUACUAAUUAUGUGAUUCCAAACUCAGAAACCAAGUGUAGGAGAUACAUACAAUACAAUGGUUUAAUAUCUAUGAAUUGUUUGGUUAUUGGGUUGCCAAAAUUCUCGAUAGUUCUAAAAAAAAAAUCGGAAAAUGAAAUCUAGAACAAUAUUUUGAAAAAAAAAACUCCCAUAACAGCUAAUCAAAUUUAAUUGCAGAUUCUAAAUGCCAAGUGGACUAGUCUAAUAGAAGAGACGACUAUGAAGAGAUUAUAUAUUUUUCUUUGUAUAUUAAAACUAAACAAAAUGAAGUAAUCUAAACUUGAACAUUUAAUAAAAAUCUAAACCUUAAGAACUAAACCAAGAACUUAUACAAAAAUUAAUCAAAUAAAUGAGUAUAUUUAUUUUCUUAUAAAAAAUCUGGGUGGAUUAAAAGAGUUUUUGUUAAAAUAAAAGUGGACCAAUAUAGAGAUAGUAAAAUGUUUUUGUCAACAACAAUAUACACAUUAUAAAUUAAAAUCUAGGUGGGUUGAUAUUGUUAUAUUAAUUAUUUACAUUGGGCCAAUAAAAGAUAGAAAAUCUUUAUUUUAUGUAUAUAUGAUAUCUAAACACAAUAUAUUUUUAAAUAAUGAUGGCAAACAUUGAAAAACAAACAGAUUGAGAACAUUAGUGUUUGAUUAAUAUCUUUCUUUUUUUAAAAGCCAAGUGGACUGAAAAACUCCCAUGAACACAUGUAAAAAGUGAAUUUGUUUUCUAUUAUAUAAUUAUUAAUCUUUUUUAAUCUAUUUAUUUGAUAUUAUUAUUAAUAGAAACCAUAAAUAAGAAAAUAAAAUAAAAAUUUUGAAAAGAGAAAAAGACAGAGAUUGAACUUCUUAACAAUUAUAAAUACCUAAAGGAUGGAAAUAUAGAUUUAACAAAAAAAAAAUAUUAAGAAAACUUUGAAAAUAUCUAAUCUAUGGAUUCUGUUUUGAAACUUGCUGCGUUCAUAUUCAUAAUUUCUGUGGCUCAAUCUCGAGAAUCCGUUAGAAAUAUAAAAAGUUUUAAGGUAAAUUGAAAGACAAAUAAUGCAUAUAUAUAUAUAUACAUAUCCAAAUCUCAUACUAAGAUUAUAUAUAUAUAUAUAUAUUGAUUUAUGGAACAGUUAAAUGAGAAAAUUAUAUACGAUUGUGUGGAUAUAUAUAAACAACCUUCCUUACUUCAUCCAUUACUCCAAAAUCAUAAAAUUCAGGUAUUUUUUAUCAAAACCUAUUCCUGUUACCUUUCAAACUUUAUUCAUUUCAUGUAAAAUAUUGUUUUGUGCAAAAAGCUUAUUGGAUAACGUCUAAUAAAGUUUAGUUUUCACAUUAUGUAUCUAUUGUGACAAUAUAAUUUUGAAUAGAUGGAACCAUCUUUUUCCAUCUCUAAACCAAAAAAUAAAGCUAGAGAUGAAAGUAAAAGCAAAACAAAUAUUGAAUGUCCAAAUGGAACAGUUCCUAUAUUGAGGAACACAAAAGAAUACGUCGCAAAUGCUCAGUAUUGGGCAGGAAAACACUUUAAUCCACUCACUGCUGAAAGUCAUGGAACACAUGUAAGCAAAUCUACUUGAAUUGUUUAAAUUAUGAAUAUGGAUAUUAUAAAAAUACUUAUGAUAUAUUAAUUUGGAUAUUUGAAUUAAUUUGCUGGAGUUAACUCACAAGGUCAAGGUUAUCGUGGUUUGGCAGCUUGGAUGAGCGUACAUGAUUUGAAUAUUAGUAAAGAUCAAGUUUCAUAUACUGCCAUGUAUGUAGAAAGUGGAACUAACAACAAAAGAAACUCUAUCUAAACCGGUUGGAUGGUAAUUUGUUUUUGAGAAAAAAAUUAUUGAAUUUACUUUUGAUGUUAAUGUUAUUUUAUCUUUUUCUAUAUACAUUGAUUAAAAAUGCAUUAAGUUUAUAGGUGAAUCCAAGUUUAUUUGGUGACGGACGUACAUGGAGUUACGAGUUUUGGAAGGUAUAUCUAUUGAUACAUCUACAUAUUGUUCACAUUCUUUAUAAAAUCCUAGUUAGCCAUAAAAAUAAGUACGAAAGAUAUGUUAAACCAUUGUUAAGUGUGUUAAUAACAAUUUCUUUUGUUUCAUAAAAGAACAUUUGAAAAAUAUUUAUUGAGCAUGUAAAAUUAGAUUUAAAAAACUCUAAAACAGCUUGAAUGUUCAUUUUCUUCCGGGUUUGAAUGUUAAACUUAGCUGUUCGGCGCUUAUAACUGUAUGGUAAAUAGUGCUAUAUUUUACACUUUUGAUUUUUUCUUUCUGAGCUAUGUUCCUUUUAUUUGGUUAACCAACAAAUUAAUUAGUUUGAAUAUGCAUGUUGACCAAAAAAGAAAAAGAUAUGAAUGGUGUUGUUAGCAUCUUAGACAACAUUUUAAAAUCUAGAAUAAAUUUAUGGGUGAUACAUCUUUAUACUUAGUCAGUUAUUUUUUUUUUUAACUAGUCAGUUAUUCUUUAAGUAUGUGUUUUUGUUUCUAUCGUUUGAUAUACAUUAAUUUUAACUAGUUUUUUCUGUUAUCGUAUAAAUUAUCUUGAUAUAUUGGAACUAAAUACUGAUAGGGUGCCAAUGGAGCUGGUUGUUAUAAUACAAUAUGUCCGGGUUUUGUUCAAGUCUCAAAAACCGAUAUGUUAAGUAUGCCUUAUCCUUAUCCCCGCAAAGGAGAACUAGGUGUUUAUGCUAGUGUUCAACAGGUAUUCGCAUUUUUACAAACUGUAUAUAUAUAUGUAUUUGUAUUACAUGAUAUAUCAAAUCUAACAUGUAUGUUUCUUUAUAUAUGUGUAUAUAUAUAUAUUUACAAAAAGGAUAAGGAAACAGGAAAUUGGUGGACAACAGAUGUGAGAUACUUUAAAAAAGAUGUAGGUAUUGGUUACUGGCCGAAAGAGCUAUUUGAUCUUAUAGAUAAAAGUGUGGACAUGGUUGGAGUUACAGGAGCAGUCCAGUCUUCUCCUUUUGGUAUAAGUCCACCAAUGGGUAAUGGUCACCUACCAACGAAAAAUGAGGAUGAGUCUGCACGCGUUAAAAGCGUUAAAAUCAUAGAUUCUAAUUUCAAAAUCAAAGGAAGUGACAAAUAUAAGUUAGAAAAAAUAUUAGACAACGACAAAUGUUAUGGCUUAAGAGAUGGAAAGACCAAAUAUUUCUUCAAAGUAUCCAACUUGUUCACUUAUGGUGGACCUGGAGGAAAUUCUUGUGGAAUCUAAAACUAUUAAAAAGUUAUGUUUUGGUUAUUAUAAUGAAUAAUUUGGAGUAAAGGUUUCAUGUUAAAGCAUUUAAAUCUUAUAUGUAUGAAGGUAACCUUUUUUUCGACAUGUGAUCUAUAAUUUUAAUAUUUUAUGUGGUGGUACAAAGUUGGUAUAUAUAUGAUCAUCUCAUUAGUAACUGAACUAAUGCAUAGCUACAAAUUCUUUUUGUUAAUUAUACAUGUUUAUUUAAUCGAUACUUCUAAGUGAUGUAAGUAUGUGUACUUGAUUAGGACGGAAGUCGGGACAAAUUUAAUGCUACCUGAAGUCUCACUUCUGACUUUGAUUCAAUUACAUUUCCAGAGUGGCUAAUAGCAGGGCUGACCUUUUAGCCAAAAAGGCUCUUAGUGGGCUGAUUGUAGUAAGUUAAAUUUUAGUGAAGAAGAAUUGAACAAAAAAGAAAAAUAAUUAUCAUCUUUUUUUGAUAAUGCACUCAGAAUUACAACAGUUAAAAAGAAUUAUCAUCUUUUUUGUUUUGUUUUGUUGCCUUCUUUUUCUAAGAAUUAUCAUCUUACAACAGUUAUAUACAAAUGCAGUCAGAAGGGACAAGGAGGACGAGGGGUCAUGGCCAUCCAUAAAAAAAAACAUCAUAAAAUAUUUUAUAAUGGGGCCUAGCACAACUGGUUUUUUUAAUCAAGAAUUGUUUUUUUUUUAAAAAAAAUUUUUGUUUGAUAUUGUUAUAUUAGUGAUUUAUGGUCUGGCUUGUCUUUUGUAGGCGGCUUCAUCACCUUCGAUCGAAGAUAUGUUAGCCGGUAUUGUCCUAACAUCGCCUGCACUUCGUGUCAAACCUGCUCAUCCUAUUGUCGGGGUAAAUCGAGUUAGAUGCUUUGGAAAAUGUUAGUAGGUGAUCGAUCAUUCAUUAAGUCAUACUAUGUUUCUUUUGUAGGCGAUUGCUCCAUUCUUCUCGUUGGUCGCCCCAAGGUUCCAAUUCAAAGGAGCAAACAAGAGAGGCAUUCCUGUCUCAAGAGACCCUGAAGCUCUCUUAGCCAAGUACUCUGACCCGUUAGUCUACACCGGCCCCAUAAGAGUCCGAACUGGCCAUGAGAUUCUCCGCAUAACAGCCUACUUGACCCGGAACUUCAAAUCUGUUACGGUGCCUUUCUUUGUCCUCCAUGGUACAGAGGAUAAAGUCACUGAUCCACUAGCUUCACAAGACUUGUAUAAUCAGGCACCAUCAGUGUUCAAAGACAUCAAACUCUACGAUGGUUUCUUACACGACCUUCUCUUUGAACCCGAGCGAGAGGAUGUUGGUCGUGAUAUCAUAGAUUGGAUGAUGAAGCGGCUCGACGAUGUUAACGGAUCAGCCGCUGGCCUCUGGUAAAAGAUCAGACGAGACAUCAGAGGUCUUCUUCUUGUCUAGGUAGUUGGG